rnacentral:rRNA from 1 species
AUGUUCGGCGUCGGCGGCAUCGUGAGCGACCUGACGGGGGGCCUCCGCGGCCCUCACCUCAAGGGCUCCGUCGUCCUCAUGCGCAAGAACGCGCUCGACUUCAACGACUUCGGCGCCACCGUCAUGGACGGCGUCACCGAGCUCCUCGGCCGCGGCGUCACCUGCCAACUCAUCAGCUCCACCCACGUCGACCACAACAACGGGGGCCGCGGGAAGGUGGGCGCGGAGGCGAACCUGGAGCAGUGGCUGCUGCCGACGAACCUGCCCUUCAUCACCACCGGCGAGAACAAGUUCGCGGUGACCUUCGACUGGUCGGUGGACAAGCUGGGGGUGCCGGGCGCCAUCAUCGUCAAGAACAACCACGCCGCCGAGUUCUUCCUCAAGACCAUCACCCUCGACAACGUGCCCGGCCGCGGCACCAUCGUCUUCGUCGCCAACUCCUGGGUCUACCCGCAGGCCAAGUACCGCUACAACCGCGUCUUCUUCGCCAACGACACGUACCUGCCGCACCAGAUGCCGGCGGCGCUGAAGCCGUACCGCGACGACGAGCUCCGGAACCUGAGGGGCGACGACCAGCAGGGGCCCUACGAGGACCACGACCGCGUCUACCGCUACGACGUCUACAACGACCUCGGCGACACCCGCGACGUCCUCGGCGGCUCCAAGGACCUCCCCUACCCGCGCCGCUGCCGCACCGGCCGGAAGCCCUCCGCCACCAAGCCCGACCACGAGAGCCGGCUGCUGCCGCUGGUGGGCAACGUCUACGUGCCGCGCGACGAGCUCUUCGGCCACCUCAAGCAGUCCGACUUCCUGGGCUACACGCUCAAGGCGCUGGUGGACGGCAUCAUACCGGCCAUACGCACCUACGUCGACCUCUCCCCCGGCGAGUUCGACUCCUUCGCCGACAUCCUCAAGCUCUACGAGGGCGGCAUCAAGCUGCCCAACAUCCCCGCCCUGGAGGAGGUGCGCAAGCGCUUCCCGCUCCAGCUCGUCAAGGACCUCAUCCCCAUGGGCGGCGACUUCCUCCUCAAGCUCCCCAAGCCGCAGAUCAUCAAAGCCGACGAGAAGGCAUGGAUGACCGACGAGGAGUUCGCCAGGGAGAUGCUCGCCGGCGUCAACCCCAUGAUGAUCAAACGCCUCACGGAGUUCCCUCCCAAAAGUACACUUGACCCGAGCAAGUACGGCGACCACACCAGCACCAUCACGGAGGCGCACAUCGGCAAGAGCCUGGAGGGCCUCACCGUGGAGCAGGCGCUCGCCGACAACAGGCUCUACAUCGUGGACCAGCACGACAACCUGAUGCCGUUCCUGGUCGACAUCAACAACCUCGACGGCAGCUUCGUGUACGCGACCAGGACCCUGCUCUUCCGGCGAGGGGACGGCACGCUGGCGCCGGUCGCCAUCGAGCUGAGCUCGCCGCUGAUCCAGGGCGACCUGACCACGGCGAAGAGCACCGUGUACACGCCGCAUCACGCCGGCGUGGAGGGCUGGAUAUGGCAGCUCGCCAAGGCGUACGCCUCCGUGAACGACUACGGCUGGCACCAGCUGAUCAGCCACUGGCUCAACACGCACGCCGUGAUGGAGCCCUUCGUCAUCGCCACCAACCGGCAGCUCAGCGUGACCCACCCGGUGUACAAGCUCCUGCACCCGCACUACCGCGACACCAUGAACAUCAACGCGCGGGCGCGGGGGCUGCUCAUCAACGCCGGCGGCGUCAUCGAGAUGACCGUGUUCCCGCGCAAGCACGCCAUGCCCAUGUCCUCCAUGGUCUACAAGAACUGGAACUUCACCGAGCAAGCUCUGCCCGACGAUCUGAUCAAGAGGGGCAUGGCGGUGGAGGACCCAUCGAGCCCGCACAAGGUGCGGCUGCUGAUCGAGGACUACCCGUACGCGGCGGACGGGCUGGAGGUCUGGCACGCGAUCGAGCAGUGGGUGACAGAGUACCUGACCAUCUACUACCCGGACGACGGCGUGCUGCAGGGCGACGUGGAGCUGCAGGCGUGGUGGAAGGAGGUGCGGGAGGUCGGGCACGGCGACCUCAAGGACGCGGCGUGGUGGCCCAAGAUGCACACCGUGGCGGAGCUGAUCAAGGCCUGCGCCACCAUCAUCUGGACCGGGUCGGCGCUGCACGCGGCCGUCAACUUCGGGCAGUACCCGUACUCAGGCUACCACCCCAACAAGCCGUCGGCGAGCCGGAGGCCGAUGCCGGUGCCGGGCAGCGAGGAGUACGCCCUGCUGGAGCGCGACCCGGAGAAGGCCUUCAUCCUCACCAUCACCAACCAGUUCCAGGCGCUGGUGGGCAUCUCGCUGAUGGAGAUCCUGUCCAAGCACUCCUCGGACGAGGUGUACCUGGGGCAGCACGAGACGCCGGCGUGGACGUCGGACGCCAAGGCGCAGGAGGCGUUCAGGCGGUUCGGGGCGAGGCUGGAGGGCAUCGAGAAGCAGGUGGUGGCCAUGAACGGCGACCCGCGGCUCAAGAACCGCACCGGGCCGGCCAAGUUCCCCUACAUGCUGCUCUACCCCAACACCUCCGACCACACCGGCCAGGCCGAGGGGCUCACGGCCAGGGGCAUCCCCAACAGCAUCUCCAUCUGA